rnacentral:sRNA from 1 species
UCACUCUCUCUAGCACCAAGAAAAACCCUCACCACUCACGAUUCCGACCAAAACUCAACCCCAAUACUGUAGAUUUGGAAUCCUUGAGACCUUGGGAGUUCGAAUAUGGUCAUGCAUGCAUCAACGGGGCAUCAUAGAGGACCUGAGAUUUGUAUUUAAAAAAAAAAAAAAAAGACGAUGCAACCACUAGUACAGCCCCAAAUCGCCUCUCAAGGAAAAACCACUAUGGAGUUGUCUUCGUUCUAGAUCCAUCAUUUAAAGGUAUAACAACAAAAUCUAUUCUAAUUGGAUGAUUUGGAGGUGAAAGGUAGGAAGAAUAAGUGGAACUCUUGAUGUUUUUACAACCUUUCGCGUAGUUAUUAAUGUGUGAAUGCUAAGCAGUCUAAUGCAUGACUACUAAAGCUAUCAUCUCCAUUGAGCUCCUCUUUUAUGUUCUUGUUCAAUAAGAUCAACAGUUCGAAAAUCCAUAUAAAAAUUCAUGCUAAAGAGCAAGGACACUGGAAAUCUCAAAUCCAUAAUUUUUGAAAGGUAUAAAACCUGAGUUUAAUCUAUAGAGAUUAGAGCUCUAAUGUUAAAGUAGUAAUGUAUUGGAGCACUGAUCUGAUGGCAAGCAUGACAGCAUGGAGCUGCCAGUAUUAUAUAUGGCAGCAUGGAGCUACA